CAAUUUUGGAAAAAAUGCUCAAACACCCUUUGAACUUUCAAGUAGUGGCCAUAACACCUCUGAACUUUAAUUUUGACCAAUUUACUCCUUAAAUUUUAAACACCUGCCAAAUCAAUACCUCUGUUACUCUUCUGUUAAUAAACUAGCGGUAAAACUCACGUGAGAGGCAUGUGUGGGAAUAAAAACUAAAGCUGAACAGCCUGAACUGUUGAGAGAGAGAUAGAAAGUUUGAGCUCAAUUUAGGGAGAGGGGAGAUGUUCCAACCAGAAGUCCGUAACAGCCUCGGUAUCCUCUCUCCGGUGCCGGAGUUCCACCGUCAUCUCACUGGCUGUUCACCGCUGGUCUAUGUAUGAAUGUCUACUGUCACUUCCUACAAAUUCAUCUGAUGAGGAAGGGAAUUCCAGGCCUAGAUUCCAUGAGUUUAACCAACACACUGACAUGAAGAAUGUAUAGCCAACAAAUGGACUCAAAUUUGUAUCACAUGUAGUCUUCAAGGAGGCAUUAAAGGAGUGGUGUAUUAGAGAAAAUCAUGAUUAGGCAAUAAGUGGAGAGUAACAACUAGAUGUAAAAAAAUUA